rnacentral:rRNA from 1 species
AUUGAACGCUGGCGGCAGGCCUAACACAUGCAAGUCGAACGAGUGGCGGACGGGUGAGUAAUGUCUGGGACACUGCCCGAUGGAGGGGGAUAACUACUGGAAACUGUAUCUAAUACCGCAUACCAUCGGAUGUGCCCCGAUGGGAUUAGCUAGUAGGUGGGGUAACGGCUCAACUAGGCGACGAUCCCUCGCUGGUCUGAGAGGAUGACCAUCCACACUGGAACUGAGACACGGGCCAGACUCCUACGGGAGGCAGCAGUGGGGAAUAUUGCACAAUGGGCGCAAGCCUGAUGCAGCCAUGCCGCGUGUAUGAAGAAGGCCUUCGGGUUGUAAAGUACUUUCAGCGGGGAGGCGUUACCCGCAGAAGAAGCACCGGCUAACUCCGUGCCAGCAGCCGCGGUAAUAC